GACGAACGCUGGCGGCGGGCUUAACACAUGCAAGUCGAACGGAAAGGCCCUGCUGUUGGGGGCGGCUCGAGGGGCGAACGGGGGGGUAACACGUGUGUAACCUGCCCUUCACUGGGGGAUAACGUCAGGAAACGGGGGCUAAUACCGGAGGGGAGCUCCUGCUGCAAGGGGGGGGUUGGAAAGUUUCGGCGGUUGGGGAUGGGCUCGCGGCUUCUCAGCUUGUGGGUUGGGUAGUGGCUUAGCAAGGCAUCAGCGGGUAGCCGGCCUGGGAGGGUGACCGGCCCCAUCGGGCUUGGGCUGCGGCCCGGACUCCUCCGGGACGCAGCAGUGGGGUAUAUUGCCCUAUGGGCGGAAGCCUGCUGCAGCAACGCCGUGUGCGGGAUGCCGGCCUUCGGUUUGUAUACCGCUUCCGCCUGUGCCGAAGCGUGAGUGACGGUACUGGGUAAAGAAGCCCCGGCUAACUACGUG
rnacentral:rRNA from 1 species